rnacentral:rRNA from 1 species
GGCUUAGAGUUUGAUCAUGGCUCAGGAUGAACGCUGGCGGCGUGCCUAACACAUGCAAGUCGAACGGACUUAUUUUGGAAAGUUCUUCGGAACUGGAAUCUAUAAGUUAGUGGCGGACGGGUGAGUAACGCGUGAGCAAUCUGCCUCGGAGUGGGGGAUAACAGCUGGAAACGGCUGCUAAUACCGCAUAAUGCAUUCUGGUCGCAUGGUCGGAAUGCCAAAGGCUUGCUGCUCUGAGAUGAGCCCGCGUCUGAUUAGCUAGUUGGUGGGGUAACGGCUCACCAAGGCGACGAUCAGUAGCCGGACUGAGAGGUUGAACGGCCACAUUGGGACUGAGACACGGCCCAGACUCCUACGGGAGGCAGCAGUGGGGAAUAUUGCGCAAUGGGGGCAACCCUGACGCAGCAACGCCGCGUGAUUGAAGAAGGCCUUCGGGUUGUAAAGAUCUUUAAUCAGGGACGAAUAAUGACGGUACCUGAAGAAUAAGCUCCGGCUAACUACGUGCCAGCAGCCGCGGUAAUACGUAGGGAGCAAGCGUUAUCCGGAUUUACUGGGUGUAAAGGGCGAGUAGGCGGGCUGGUAAGUUGGAAGUGAAAUCUCGGGGCUUAACUCCGAAACUGCUUUCAAAACUGCUGGUCUUGAGUGAUGGAGAGGCAGGCG